rnacentral:lncRNA from 14 species
GGGCCGGGGCGCUGGGCUUCCCGCAUGCGCUGAGCGCAAACCGCGCGGAGGAGCAGCGCCGCAACCUUGCUGCGCCUGCGCUCCAGGCAGGGAGAGGACAGCGCGCAGUCGGGUGACGUCAGGUGCACUGGCAAACAAACAUCAUCUGGGAAACUCUACCUGGGAUUUUUUUCUGGGAGGAAUUUUUACUGUUAUCAAAGUUGUGUCUACAGCUUGAUGUCGAGUGAAUCCCUGAUCAGGAGGAAGAUAAAACUGCCACGCAAUAGCUUCAGUUCAGUUGAAGUAACUGAGCAAUUCUAUCAACCACCUGAAAGUGCAGUCAAGGAUGACCUUCAUGUUUGAAACUAAUUAAAAGCGAGAAAUCAAAAUGCCCACCCAAGCAGACCUAUGAGAAUACAUAAAUUGAAGGUAGAUAGAAGAAUUCAGCAUUAGAAGCACUGUGAAAGGCCACAGCGAACUAACUCAUUUACUGAGCUCACUUCUUCACAAGGAGCUUUACUACCAUUAAACAGAAGUAACAAAAAUUGUGCAUUGUAUUUCCUUCAGUGGGGAUUUUCUUUUGCUUGUAGCAUGGAAUCAUUAUGCCAUCUACUGGCAAUUUACAGAGCUACACUAGAAACGUUUUAAGAUAAAAGCAUGGACAGAAAAGCUAGGAUUGCAGCCUGGAUUCAGGCACAGUCUUUGUGCUGUCCUGAAUAUAAGAUGUCUUGAGAAGGGCCUACUUCUGACUUGGGGCAGAAGGGAACACAGGCUGCUGUCUUGACUUGCCUCAGAGUACCAGCCUGCUUAGAAAAGGUUUAUUGUACCCUGAAACUCUGCAUUAUCACUUGGAGUACUGGGUACAGUUAUGGU